GAAACAUCUCUUGCACAAAAUGCGAUGCAAAAUCAAAUUUUAAAAAGUUUUUGCCCUUCUGUUCUCCAGCCAUCAAAAUUUGUGACCUUCGUUUGGGACAACAGCGAUAUAAAUUCUAAAACAGAAACUCUAUGCUCGUCACAAAAUGUAUUGACAUUCAGUUACAAAACCUUGAUCAAGUACACAAAAUGGGGUUAACGAAAUAAUUUCAAGAAAAAGUGAAAGAUCUUUUAAAGCAAUUGAGAAAGAGUUGUACGUAAAGCAUAAUCGUGAAGAACCAGACUGGUAGUUUUAGAGAAGUUUUAUUUUGGAUCUUAUUAUAUCAUUUUUCUAAUGAUAUCCUAAAUUGGACUGGGUUUAACUACCUAAUUACACUUAAAAGGAAACCAGAAGAUAUCCACACUGUUAGCUAUCUUCCUGCUAUUAACUCAUCGCCUACUAACUUGAGCACAGUGCUUAAAGUUUUGCUCAAGUCCAAAGCUAAAGCCGAGAAUCUUGGUCUCUCAGAAAAUGACGUUGUAAUGGAUAUAUGCAAAAGCGAUGGAAAUUCUAAUGAACCCAAGUCAUAUCUUAAAAGGUUCGUUGUUCUCUAAAGGGAUGCAUUUCACAUAUCUAGUAUUUUCCUAGCUGUUAUUGGUAUGAGAUUUAAUGAUGCCGGAUUACAAGACUGGAUAAUUAAAGCUGAUAGAUCCGGUGUGUGAUUUCUUUAUCUCCAUAAAUUUUAUAGACAUUGUAUUACGUAGCAAAUAUUCCAGCAGAUUUUUUUUGACCGAAGAAGGUCAAAGUACGAAAGAUAUUUUUAAUUUUAUUUUUAAGGUAAAAGUUCAUUCGAGCGUAUUUUGAAGGGAAAGCAAUAUAACCAUGCCGUUCGAAUAAAUCAAUAUCUAAAUAAUGCACUAACCCAGCUGAGGAUAAAUCAUUUUGCAAGUUGGUUAGGGAACUUCGGCCCUAGUAUUUUUCUCUCUUAAGAAUCUGUUCACGAGAUUUUUUUUAGGAAGAGUUUACCUUUAUUAAAAUUGUUUAACGUAAAUAUAUAUUUUUCAAAAAACUUAUUAACGUGACGUCAUCAGUACCAAAUAAAGGCUGAAUUUGACCCUUUAAUCACUCUUAGAAUUGCCCUUAGUUAAAAAAAUAUGUAUCAGCGUGACGUCACCAGUACCAAAUAAGGUCCCAAAUUUGACCCUUUAUUCAAAAAGGUAUAUUCAGGCAUAUUCAAAAAGAACAUAAAAUGAAUGCGCAUGGAAAGAAGCGUAGAGCUGGUUUUGGUGAAGCACCAACUGAAAAGUAUAUGACAUUGGUUGAUGAGCAAAUAAAAAGUUUAGUUAAAAAACAACUUCACACAGAUUUAUCAUUAAAAGAUGAAUUAGAAAAAACAAACAAAUUUACUGAAAGUGUUUUAAUGAAGGAUGAAUCUCAUCAAAAGGAAGGUAUAAAAUCUCUGAAAGAGUUCCAAACGCUUGAUCAUUUAGAAGAAGAAAUUGGUUUAUUAAGGGAAGCAGGUUUAACAGAAAAAGAAAUAAAAUUGAAGUUCACUACUCCAGAGAAAAUUUCAUCUACUUUAUGUAAAAAGUUGGAUACUAUUGACAAAAAACUAGAAAACCAUAAGUGCAAGCUUGCUAAACGUGAAAGUUAUAAUGGAACAAUAUCAGUCUCUAGAAAAAUAUAUGAGCUUAAUCAAGCUACAUACAGCAAUAGUACAAAAAAUCAACCUUUUAGACAUUUAGUUCAGUGUGAAGAGAAGGUGUAUCCUGAAAAUGAUCCAGUUGCAUUAACUUUAAAAGAAAAUGAUGUAAUUCCUAAUGAUCUCUUAAAAAAUAAAUUGGUUGAUAAUGAAUCAGAUAAUUCUGAAGACCAUAGUUUUGUUGGUCCAUUACUAGCACCUAUUAACCAAAGAGCAGUACAAAUUCCAGAGAGUGUUAUUAAACAUAACCAAAUUGAUUUAAUAAGCAUAUUGUCUAUGGAAAAGUUUAAGAACUACAAAGCUGGUUCACCAACUAGGAUACUUUAUAUUAAGAAUCUUUCCAAAAACAUCAAAGAGUGUAACUUAGCAGAACUGUUUGGGAGAUUUUGUGUUAAUAAUCCUUCAGAAGUCAAGUACCAAGUAAUGAAGGGAUUGAUGAGAGGACAAGCGUUUGUAACAUUUCUUGAUGAACAUACUGCUCAAAGAGCUCUACUUUUAUGCAAUGGGUACAUUUUAAAUGGUCGACCAAUGAUUAUUGCUUUUGGAAAGUCAAAGAUUUAAUAAAUAUAAAGCGUAUUAGUUGUAUCAUCCAUACUGCAGCUGUUUUUCAAAAUGCCUUAAGGACAGCAUAUAAAUAUUGAGUUUGGCAUGCUGACACUUUAAAAGAUUAAGGUCAGCACUUGUGUGUCUUACUAAAGCUAAGAUAGAUUGGUUUUUACAUCAGCAUUGUUGAAAGUGUCGAUCUAGAUUUCGAGGACUAUGAGUCUAAGCUGUCUCCAAAAUUAUGUUAACAAAAGCUACAGGAGAGUUUCAAUGGGUGUCAAACAAGUAAUAUUUUCCAAUAUAAACUAUGUAAUAAUGAAAGAUUAACUGUGCAAUUUUAGCACUUUUUUUGUCUAUUUUUAAAUUUUUUGUAUUGAAUUUAAUUAUUUGGUAGAGUAACAUUCUAGGUGUGAGUUAAAA